rnacentral:lncRNA from 1 species
UUUUUUUUUUUUUUUUUUUCUCUUCUUCUCUUUUUAGGGCCAAACCUGUGCCAUAGGGAAGUUCCCAGGCUAGAGGUCAAAUUGGAGCAGUAGCUGCUGGCCUAUACCACAGCGUGGCAACACUGGAUCCAAGCCACAUCUGUGACCUACAAGCAGCUGGUGGCAGCACAGGGUCUUUAACCCACUGAGCAAGACCAGGGAUCAAACCCACAUCCUCACAGAGACAUCAAGUCCUUAACCCACUGAGCCAUAAUGGAAAUCCAGGGAUAGGUCUGCUGCCUGAUGAAACUUGAGGAUACAGAGGCUCAGAGAGUUGACAUGGCAUGUCCAAAGUCCCCCAAUAGUAAGUGGCAGGGCUGUGAUGCAACCCAGGUCUGCUGACAAGGCCCAUCAUCUUUCCAACACACCAUGGUUUGUUUUUUUUUUCACCCUCCUUUUUCUGCUCAAUAGAAAGAAACACGUUGCUUGUGAAACUUGCUGAUCUGUAAUCACAUACCCCAAGCCCUUUAGGCUGUCUCACCUAAACACCAGCCUUUGCUUUGUUGCUCUCCAUGAAACCACAAGAUCAUCCAAAGCAUGUGUGUGCCCUCACAGAAAAUUCCCUGUGUCCUUCCCCGGGGGAGGAGAGAGGGCUCUUUUGUGAGGCUGCCUCCUACCCAGGAGAACCAUUCACAACUGUUUCAACUUUGGAGCCUGGGGCUUCUCUGAGCUCUGCCCUGUCCUGGAGACGGUGCAGUGAGGAGGAAACCGAUCCUCAGAACCUCUAAGUGUAGCCAAAGGAAGCUAAUGCUUUCUCAGUAACAAAGGAGGCUCUGAGAUGUCUUGAUAGCUUUGCUCUCAAAGAGCUAAAAGAAAAACAGAAAAGGCAAGGAGGCCACACAUGUAUUUAUGAAGACGUCCACAGCUGGGAGUCUGGAGGACUGGGGCGGUUUAAAGGAAAAAGCUGGGAAGUGGCCCUGCAGAAGCAGAGGUCAUGGAGUCAGGAGGUCCCAGCACACAUGACCGGAGGGGGCCCAAAAGGGUGAACUUCACAGCCAAAACCUCACGUCUUCUGUAGCUUGCCUGCACAAAGUCAGGCGCCCUGCUCCUGCCCUUGUCACUGCCCCCAGCACCAAGGGCCACUUUUGCACACCUCUGCCCGGCAGAGAGCGCUCCCUUCUAGGAUUCUGAAACCUGCCUCUCCUUUACUUCCACCUGCUGGUCCCAGAUCCCCUCCCUCGAGACCCCAGAAAACAAGUCCAGUCCUGCUUCCCAGAGACAGCCCUCGCAGCCCUGAGAAAUGCCCACAUUCCCCAGCGCCUGCGAAACCUUCACAGCAGGUCUGAAGGGGGCUGCAGGAAAGAAGCUUUCUCUUCUUAACAAACAGGUCUAGCCUUUCUGGUUAGGAGAGCUGUCUGGACAAAGAAAACCAAUCCCGCUUGUCUUUUGAAUCUGCAGCCGGAUGGGAAGGGAACAAUAGCCCCAGGAGAAGUGGGGGGAGGACCCGACUCUUCACAUCUUAAUGAAGGUGUGAACUUUGAAGCUUUAUUAUGAACACUUGAAAGCCUAGCCCUGGUUAAGCUCCUUUCCUCGCUCGCAGUCACCCUGGAUAAUGAGGCCGCAGCUGUGUGGGAAGCGCUGGGGCAGGAGGAAGGGAGGACCAGGGUUAUCUGGAGGCAGGAGCCUCGCUGGGCCUGGCAGAAAAGCCACCCUUGGCUGCAGGCACUGCCCCGUGACUAGGCUCUGGUGGCCUUCAGGGACAAGGAGCUCUCUGUUUGAGUUGAAGGAGGGCAGUAAGCCUAUGAAGGACAGGAGAAAAGGCCUGGAGAAUCCUUUCUUUUUUUAAAACUUCCUAAGUAAUAAAAAUAAUGACUUACACCUGGAAGGUAUCUUCCAUCCUCAUGUCACUUGGAUUCACACAAAAGUCUAUGUAAGGCAGAAAGGGUGGUGGCUCUGAGAAGUUAGUGCCCCUGCAUGAGGUCAUUGGGGCAGGAAAUGGCAGGUCAGCUAGUUCCAACCCAGGUCUCUGUCCAUCCCACAACCAGCUCUGCCCUUGAAGCCUCCUUCUCUUCCCAAGGUAUUCACUGACAAGUCUAAUCAUGAUCAGUGCACAAACAACGAUGACGGCAAAGUAACACUCUAACGUGGAUGCAAUGCUUCCUGUGUCCCCAGCACCAGACGUCCCCUGUUUACCAGUAUGAUCUCAUUUAAUCUUCCCAUCAGCCAAAUGAGGUACUGAAACUGACAGCACUAACGGCCUGAACCUCGCCAGAACAGACAGGGACUUGAAGCCGCCUAAACUCAGACUGGGACUUAAACCCAUGGUUUUAAAUUAGAAUCACUCUGGGAGUUCCCAUCAUGGCUCAGUGGAAAUGAAUCUGACUAGCAUCCAGAGCAUCCAUGAGCAUGCAGGUUCGAACCCUGGCCUUGAUCCGGUGUUGCUGUGAGCUGUGGUGUAGGCCAGCGGCUACAGCUCUGAUUGGACCCCUAGCCUGGGAACAUCCACAUGCCAUGCCACAGGUGCAGCCCUAAAAAGACAAAAAAAAAAAAGACUAAAUAAAUAAAUAAUUAAAUUAGGAUCACCUAGUGUCUGCACUUAAUGAGGUUCAAAUUCUUCAUGGGGCAGAAGGAAUUCAGUGAGAGAGAAAGUGAUAGGCAAGAAAUAGAUUUAUUAGGAUAGGACGCUUGUGAGAGAUGCAAGUCGGCAGGCAAGGAGGCUCUGCCCCCAGGAUCGAGGAUCAGGUGGGCUGCAGUUUUAUCAUCCAAGGGGAGUGGGGGUCGGAAAAGACCAUCUCUUCCUUUCUGGGAGUAGUAGCUCCUCCUUAGUAUCUGGUAAGGUGCAUAUUCCAAUCAGCAGAAGGGUGGUCCUCAAACUCCUGCCUUUGGUCUGAAUCUGAAUGCAAGCCUCACCCCAUCCCCCACCCAAUGACCUGAGGCAUAACUCAGCCUCCACUAGGCAAGCAAGCCUGCCUUAUUCUGAUAGCUUUUUUUGAGCAAUUUAUUAACUUACAGUGAUCUCCCCAAAUCCCCUAAGUUUUCCUCUUUAUCUAUGCUCCCUUAUUCAGACUUCUACAACUACCUGUGCCUACUCCAUCCCUAUCAGUAUUAUUAUUACAUUUUUUUUUUUUCUUUUUAGGGCUGCACCUGGGGCAUAUGGAAGUUCCCAGGCUAGGGGUCGAAUCAGAGCUACAGCUGCCACCUACACCACAGCCACAAAGACACCAGACAGAUCCAAGCUGCAUCUGCAACCAUUCAGUGGCUAGCCCACUGAGUGAGGCCAAGGAUCAAACCAGUGUCCUCAUGGAUACCAGUUGCAUUCUUAACCUGCUGAGCCACAAUAGAAACUCCUAUCAUUAUUAUUAUUAUUGAUGGGGAAACUGAGGCAUGAGGGGCGCAACAUGGCCAGCAAAUGGCCAGGCCACAGUUUGAAUUCAAGCUGUUUAGAAGCUUAUUUCACAUGUCUCCAUUGUAAUUGUAAUGCCUGAUUAUUAUAGAAACUGGAAAGAUCCAAAGAGAUAAAAGAAAAUAGAGGUCUCAUCACCCAAAAGUAUGUGCCAUAUUCAUAUACCAGCUGUUUUGUCCAGGCACCUACGAUCUACACAGAUUCCUGCAGCAUACACUGCUUGAGCACCUCCUGUGUGCCAGGCACAAUUCUGGAUACUGGGGAUCCAAAUGUCCAGAAGCGAGCAAGAGCAGAGGGUCCCUGUCCUCACGAGAUUGACAUUCUAGGAGCACCGUCCCCUUAUUUCCAUAUUUCCUCCACCAGCACCGCUCUCAUUUAAGGUGCUGGAGGUUUCUAACCCUUGUGUGAAGAACACGCCAGGGAGGGGUCAUAUGGAUGCUCACAGCACCUCUGUGCUAAUGGCCAAUCUAGGGCAGCAAAGAAUUGAAGUGCUGACUUUUCCCUUUCCUACUCAGAGUUUCACAGGGACAGAACAUUACUCUGGAUGCUCUGAAGGGCAUCAGAUCUGUCAUCGGGAUUGCAAGAUGUAACCAGUCCCUUGGGCAGAAAAUGGAGCCAGACCUGCCCUCACAGCUGGACCAGGAGAACGGCCUCCUAAGUAU